CAAGUAGCAUCAUACUGACAAACUCAUGAACUCGCCGUUUUAUUAACUAAAAUAUUCAUUAACGUUAAACAUUGUGUUUUUGUUAUUCCUGAUUGUUUACAUGCUUAUCUAAAUAAAUGAUGGAUGUAGUUAGAGAACCAAGGAGAUGUAAUUAUUGUGUUGUGCUCCUAGCUAGAUACUAGCCAGAACUGGCUACUAAGGUUAGCGUGCAGUUUCAUGAAAAGAGAUUUCCUCAAUACAUCCAUGGCUUCAUCUCU